AAGAAAUUAAAAGUCGAACAGACUUUAUUUUUAAACUGCUGCACCUAAAAUAAAUCUUAAUUCAACAUCGAGGUCGCAAUCAUUUUUAUCGAUAUGAACUCUCUAAAAAUAUAACG
rnacentral:rRNA from 1 species